rnacentral:lncRNA from 10 species
AUGUUCCAACUGUACCUGAAACAUUUCAUACCUCAAGUCGUAAGAACAAAUAAAUAUGAUUUAUUGUUGCAGCUGGAUCUCCUGCUACACAACAGGAAAAUCCUAACUGAUGCUGGGUCACAGAAUACAUCCUGGCUCAUCAUUUCAGACUUCUACUCAAGAGCUUUUAUGAUGCUGCUCUGUCGACUCCCAUAAGACCUCCCAAACCCAGGCUCCAGGCUGACAUCUCACAGUUCCUCAAGAGACAUAGCUUCUUAUUUUCUAUACAGGACCUGGAAGGAAAACCUGAAAAACCCAUGACACUCCCUUUCCUGUUAGCUGUGUGGUGUUAUGAAAUGGACUGACAGGAUUUAGCUUUCCCAGCACCACUGAAGGACCCUCAGCAACUUCAAGUUCAAAAUGUCCUCACCUUCGCCUGAUUUUGGGAAGUAUUGCAUCAACACGUUUUUGCAAAAAGAAUGGAACUUUAAAAUUUUUUCUUGGCGUUCUCUUUCUCUUUAUACAUGAGCAAUAAAUGUGUGCAGAAGUCAUUCUAGCCAACAAGAUUGUCAGGCCGAGACGGGCAGAUCACGAGGUCAGGAGAUCGAGA